rnacentral:tRNA from 1 species
AAGGGAAAAGCUAGAUGACUGGGCCACAAGAGGAAAAAAAGCAGCAAGACAGGAAUGUCUGGGUAGACAUAACAGACUAUUAUUCUUCUCUUGAGUUCCUUAAGGCAAUGAGUAGCCACUGCUGUUUGCCCUGGCCCAUCAAUGAGAAGAUCUGCUCUUAGAGCCCUGCUUUCCUGCUGAAGGCCCUGAAAUCACCUGUGUUCCAGGCCACCUGCUAACAAUAAAUAAUGCUGCCCUGAUGUGGGGAAUUAGCUCAAGUGGUAGAGCGCUUGCUUAGCACGCAAGAGGUAGUGGGAUCGAUGCCCACAUUCUCCAAGCUUUAUUAUUUAGACAUCGUGUCUCCAAACACUCAGG